ACCAGGGAUUGGGGGAUCUGCUUCAGCUUGUCUGAGACCCUGUGAGAGCAAAGGGAUACCGGGAUCAGUGAUUGACUGGGGACUCUAUCCCCUGUGCCACCCUAAGGAGCGUCCCAGGAUGACCACCCAGAAGCUGACUUUGAGGCAAGGAUUUGAACUUCAAGUUCUCUGAAGUCCAGACCAGCAUCUAGAACAACACCUGCCAUGUACCCACUGCCCAGCAAGUUCCUGCACCUUGCUUGCUCCCUUCUUGGAUGGAAAUGUGCUUGUUUACUGCCUGUUUCAGCCACUGGCGUGUGAGCUCCGUCUGUAUCCCUGCUCCGUGUGCACCAGGCACACUUCCUUGGUUUGAUGAAGCAAAUCGCCAAAUUGUGAGAUUGCCCAGUGGAGAGGCCAGUGUUUUAAGAAACUGAGGCCCUCAGGCCAGUAGACUGAAUCCUGCCAGCAAUCCCUGAGUGAGCCUGGAAGCAGAUCCUGUCCCAGUUGUAUCUUAGGAUCACUGCAGCCUUGGAUAACACCUCAGCUGAAGCCUUGAGCCAAAUAGCCCAGUGAGGCCACAUCCAGAUUCUUGACCGACAGAAACGGAAACCGGGCUCUCGCUCCACCUGGCAUCGGUCGAGGCCGCUCACUCUGCUGUGUUCAGCUGACAGGUGAGCUGCGCUGGGCUGGAAAGUCCAAGAGGCUUCACUCCUACGUGUGGCGCUUUAGUGCUCCUCGGUGUGGCCUUUCUCUCCCCACGUGGCUGGCCUGGCUUCCUCCCAGCCUGGUGCUUUCAGAGUAGUCAGGCCUCUUACGUAGCAGCUGCGGUCCAAGACAGAGGAAGUGUAAGCUUCCCAGCCUCUUAAGGGAGCCCAGCCACAUGCUGCCAAGGAAUUGCCGAGCCACUCUUGGGAUCUGAGACAUCUCCUCUUCUCUGGGCCAGGGAGAGGUGAUUGGCAGUGACUCAGGGGAGAACCCUGUGGACAAAGGAGGAGAGGAAGGGGAAGGAUAAGAAGAGGCUUCCCCCCACUGGAGUUAAAGGGCCCGAGGCCCAUGCGCCUAGAGUAAGUUUUUCCCUCUCCCCGCUCAGCUCCCUGGGCCCCCAUCAUUUUAUCUUAAGAGCUCAUUUAAAGAUGUCAAGGAGUGAAGAAGGAGGAAGAAAAAUGGCACUUAUUGGGCAAAAAGUGCCAGGAGCUGUACCUAGUUAUUUUAUUGAAUCCUCACAGCAAUCCUACAAAGAAACCGACAUUAUCCCCUUUGCAAAGAAGAGAUACAAGAGGUCUCAGCAGGGGAGGUGACUAGAACCAACUCAUACUGCAAAGGUAUUCGAUCAAAGGAUGUAUUUGCUUCUUUACUUAGCAAACGUCUUUUGGUCCAGGAUUGUGCCGGGCUUGGAACACUAGGAUGAAUGUUGUUUUUGUCAGCUGUUGCUGCAGUAAUGCUGCAAAACAAACAUCCUCCAAAUCCCAACGAGAGGUAUUUAUCUUUCUCUUUCCUAGGUGCACUGGGGUAGGGGGAGUCAGCAGGGGUUUCUGUUUCAGACCACAGGUUGGCUGGGCUUGGUCUGCUCUUCAUAUCCCCAUAUUCCACAUGGACCAGUGGCCAGCCUGGAGCAUGUUUUUCUCAAGGGAGAUCACAGGAACACAGGUGACAAAACAAACCGCCUGAGCACAUUUAAAGCUUCUGCCAACAUCACUAGCCAGAACAAAUCCCAUGCCCAACCCCAGAGUAUAAAGGUAGAGAAGUCUGUUUAUCCACCAUGAAGCCAUGGUGAUGGCAUAGAGAGUGAAUUCUGUGAUGAGGGGAAUGCAUUGAGAGCAGGGAUCCAGUCUGCUGCAGGUGACAAGACACAGGCCUUGCCCUCAGGAGGCUUAACAGUCUAGUGGUGUAGGUGCUCAUAAAAACACAAUUACACUGCAGUGAGGGACGUGCAAUGAGGAGCGGUGUGUGUGUGCAUGUGUGUGUGUGCAUGCAGGCGCAGUCUGGGACCAUGGAGAUGGUGGGUUCCUGCAGCCAGCUAGACAUCUGGGAAGACUUUCUGGAGAAGGAGAUGCUCAAGAUAAAUUCUAAAGGAUAAGAUAAAAUAGGAGCUCUUGGUUGAACUGGAGAGAAGUGACAGGGAAGCGAGGAAAGGCAUUGCAGGCAGUCACGACUGUGGGCACAAAGGCACGGAGACUCAGGAGCAGAACGGUGUGUGUAAGAAAACCAAGGAGCUGCUCGAUGGAGGCAGGAGCCCAGCCGUGGGGGGCCUUUGUCAAGUGCUUGAUGGCAUCUUCCCUUCACCCCCAGAGCACUCCCCACCUUUCUCCGCUGAAUUCCCUGCCCUGGGUCACUGGCCUGUACGGACUGCAUCCAGAACCUCUCUCGUUCUGGGAAGACGGCAGAAUGCGGUGGUAGCCUCUCCCCAAGUGCUCCCUGUUACCGACUGAACCCUGUCCCCCUGAAAUCCACAUGUUGAAGCUCUCACCCCCAAAGCGGCUGUACUUGGAGAUAGGGCCUUAAAGUAUAUAAUUAAGGUUCAAUAAGUUCAUAAGGGGCCUAAUCCAGCAGGAGUGGUGUCUUUGGAAGAGGAGAAGACACGCGAGAUCACUCUCCGUCUCUCCAUGUGCUCACAGAGGAGAGACCAUGUGAAGACAGAGAGAAGGUGGCUGUCUAUAAGCCAGGAGUAAAGGUCUCACAGAAACCAACCCUGACAGCACCUGAAUCUUGUACUUCUAGCCUCCAAAACUGUGGGAAAUACAUUUCUGUUGGUUGAACCACCCAGCCUGUGGUAUUUUGUUAUGACAGACCUAACAGACUCAUAUGCCACCCUUCCUGUCCCCCACCUGCAGAAAAGCAACUAGAAUAAAGAAAUCAGAAGAGUCACAGACAACUUCUACAGCAAAGCUAGG